GUUCCACAUUAUUAAGCAGAGCACCAUUUUCAUGCAAUAUGGGGAAGAAAAAGGAUCUCUCUGCUACCGAAAAGAGUGAAAUAGUUCAAUGCCUUGGACGAGGUAUGAAAACCUUAGAUAUUUCACAAAAAUGUAAGCGUGAUCCUCGCACUAUUAAGAGAUUUGAGGCUGAUUCAAAGCACAGAUGGGUUCGUGCAGAUAAAGGCACAUUGAGGAAGAUUUCUGCCAGAUCCAUGCAUCGGAUCAAGAGAGCAGCUGCUAAAAUACCAUUAUAUAGCAGCAUACAGAUAUUUGAAGUUGAUGGUGACUCUGGAGUGCCACGG